GACGAACCGAGCGAACGUUGUUCGGAAUCACUGGGCUUAAAGGGCGCGUAGGCGGGUGCUCAAGUCCGUGGUGAAAUCCUCCGGCUCAACCGGAGAACUGCCUCGGAUACUGGGUGCCUCGAGGGUGGUAGGGGUAUGCGGAACUAUCGGUGGAGCGGUGAAAUGCGUAGAUAUCGAUAGGAACUCCGGUGGCGAAGGCGGCAUACUGGACCACCUCUGACGCUGAGGCGCGAAAGCCAGGGGAGCAAACGGG
rnacentral:rRNA from 1 species